rnacentral:rRNA from 1 species
CAGUCGCCGCGGGAAUACGAAGGGUGCAAGCGUUACUCGGAAUUACUGGGCGUAAAGCGUGCGUAGGUGGUGGUUUAAGUCCGUUGUGAAAGCCCUGGGCUCAACCUGGGAAUUGCAGUGGAUACUGGAUCACUAGAGUGUGGUAGAGGAUAGUGGAAUUUCCGGUGUAGCAGUGAAAUGCGUAGAGAUCGGAAGGAACAUCUGUGGCGAAGGCGACUAUCUGGGCCAACACUGACACUGAGGCACGAAAGCGUGGGGAGCAAACAGGAUUAGAUACCCGGGUAGUCCCUGUCUCUUAUAC